UGUUAUUCUGCAUGGGCUGAAGCCUUCUGGAAUUGUGUGGGGGCACUCUGGGGAUUGUGGCUGGCUCAACUGCAACAGGAGGCAGCAAGAAGGCAACCCUAGGUGCUGCUGCAUAGAGGUGGCACCUAGAGAAUAGAGAAAAGGCUGGCACACUCUGGGCAGGAGAGUGAGUACAGCCAUCUCCCACAGCUGUCUUUAACUUUGCUCCAGAGCUCUUUGCACCCCUCCACACUCCUGGAACAAUUCUGCUUCUCUUCAGCAAAGACUUUUGGCUUCACUGUUAGAGGUCCAGGCCAGCUCCAUGAGAGUUUGCUUGGUCCUUUCUGGCUCCUGCCCCUUAACUUUCCCUUAGCUCUGCAGAACACAGAGCCCAAGUGAUAACACUGUUCAUGGGCAAAUUCUGCUGCUUUUUCUCUCUAGGAAGGUGCUGCAUGUUACAUCUGAACUCAAUGAUCAAGACUCUUUUUCUCUGCAAUGCAAUGUGCUUUGGCCACUUGUUCUGAGAAUAAGUGGGAGAGAACUGGGCACAUAGCAGUAUUUUUCAUUCUCUGCUAUUCCCACAUCUCAGUUGCAGUUCAGAAGGAGCCCCCAGAGGUCCUCUGGAAGUCACAUGGUAACUCAGGGCCAGGUUUUCAGGACAAGCUGUAGGAGAUACCUUCAGAUGGUUUAGGCAGACACAGCACAGGGAUGGGACAAUUUAUCAGGAAGAUUGAGGCCCAGGUGUUUCUAGGACCACCCUGUAGCUGGCAAGGCAUUGAAGAAUAGUCCAAACUUCUCCCUCCCAUGGGUAUUGAACCUGUUCUUUGGGAACCUCAGCCACUGCUAGUAU